rnacentral:SRP_RNA from 1 species
GCCAGGCGUGGUGGCUCAUGCCUGUAAUCCCAGCACUUUGGGAGGCUGAGGUGGGUGGAUCACCUGAGGUCAGGAGUUCGAGACCAGCCUGACCAACAUGGAGAAACCCCAUCUCUA